AACCAUAGAAACCUGCGGAGUACCUGCGGAGGGAUCAUUACAGAGUUCAUGCCCUCACGGGUAGAUCUUCCACCCUUGAAUACUAUACCUUUGUUGCUUUGGCGGGCCGCUUUGGCUACUGGCUCUGGCUAGUAAGUGCCCGCCAAAGAACCCCAAAACUCUGAAUAUUAGUGUCGUCUGAGUACUAUAUAAUAGUUAAAACUUUCAACAACGGAUCU
rnacentral:misc_RNA from 1 species